CAAAGCUCAGUUGGUCUGGAGCAUCCCGACAAGUCGGGAGGAUCGUAGGUUCGAAUCCUACAUCGCCCA
rnacentral:tRNA from 1 species